CUUAUCAUUUAAUUCCAAAUGCAUUCAAGGCGCAUGCGUUGAGGAUGUGUGACUGAACAGGAAAUUCCAAAUAUUCAAUGACCUUUCACUUAAUUUGCUCCAAAAGCGACGGCAGUGAAAAUUCUAAGCUAUCAUCUUACAAGUGCAAUCGCAAUCGUCUUCAACAAUUUUUGCUUUUGUUUACUAAUCAUUUCCAUUAUAUUUCAGUUUGGAUAUAUAUUUCUUUUAAAAUUGUGCUAAUAUAUGUGUGCUUUUAUUGUGAAAUUACAUAUCAGUGGUUGUUUUUGCUGUUUUCUUCGUUCUGUGAUUUAUUUUUCAAUUGGGAUUUCUUUAUUUCUGGAAACGAUGGCAGAAAGAGCAUCCAGCAACCAGAGAACUCAGAUCGGAUCAGAGCCAGUUCAAUUCACACGACUUGGAUGCCAACAAAGGAUGAUAGUUGGGCAAACACGGACCCCUGGACACACCAGAGGUGGGAUCAGGUGCCUAGGAGGAGUAAGCAUCCCCUGUUGACCGGUCACACCCGCCGUGAGCCCCAUAUCCUGAUCAGAUAAUGAGAAUGAUAUAGACAUGAUAGAAGUGGAAAAAGAUUGUGACUAUUUUAGUAUGAAAAAGGAUUUGUCAACAAAUGAUGCAGAAAGGAAACGAAAUAAAAAAGAUUCCUGUACACUUCAAUUCACAAAGAAAACACCCACCAUUAUAGAUCUACACAUUUUUAUAUGACGGUCACUGAACGGGACGUAUUAUGUUAUGAUGCUGUCCAUGUGUCUGUCUGACUGGCUGGCUGUCCGUCCGGGGUCAUGUUUUCCGGACUUUUUCCCGUAACAGAUGCAUAUACAACUUUGAAAGAAAACCAAGAAAGGGACUACUAGAUGAGGAGAGUGAAUGAGGUUCAUCAAUUGAUGUUGAUCCUGAAGCCAUUAAAGAAAUAAGCAGUGAGCUUCAUUUUACCUGUAAGCCUAAAAGUCAGCGGCACACUUGGACGGAAAAAGAGGACAGACUUGUAACAGUUUUUCACAGAGGAAAUAAAUGAUGGAACACAAAAAGGAAAUAAGGGAGCACUAAACAUCAAAAAUAAAAUGAAGAGCUUUAUUCAGCAAUAUCCAGAAUUUCUUAAGGACUAUGAAGUGUCUAAACAAAAAUUCCUGAUCAGAGUGAAACUUUUAAACUGCAGAAGAAGGAAAA